ACACGGAUAGAAGACCCAUCUCCCACCUGCCAUUUAGUACCUCUAGCAAGGACCUGCUUUGCUGCAAAGAUGCUACGCCAACAAUACGAGGAUAUCUUACCCACAGAAGCAUCCCAAAAAUCCGAAUUAGCAAAGUAUUUUGCUCGGAAAAGACGAGCAACCAAUAAGUUACAACAAUUUUUAAAUCCAAUUGGAUAUCUGGAACAUCGGUCGUUGUUGUUGUGCACUUGUGCUCCAUAUUCUGAUUCUGAAUUUCAGAAUUUGAUUCAUAUAUUCAAACUGGUCAUGAGAAAUUAGAAUAUUGUGAAAUGGGCUUCGGUUUUCUCUUCUUGUAGCUAAAAGCACGUUAUGAUUUUCUUUUGUUUUUACCACUUUUUUUCUUCUGAAUGUUUAUUUUAGGGUAUGCUGUAGUUCAAAUGUCACUGCAAUAUAUACUCUUUUGCAUUUA